UUGGGCACUCUAGCGAGACUGCCGGUAAUAACCGGAGAAGUGGGGAUGACGUCAAAUCAUCAUGCCCCUUAUGACCUGGGCUACACACGUGCUACAAUGGUUGGUACAACGAGUUGCGAGUCGGUGACGGCGAGCUAAUCUCUUAAAGCCAAUCUCAGUUCGGAUUGUAGGCUGCAACUCGCCUACAUGAAGUCGGAAUCGCUAGUAAUCGCGGAUCAGCACGCCCGCGGUUCCGAAUACGUUCCGGCCUU
rnacentral:rRNA from 1 species